rnacentral:misc_RNA from 1 species
UCCUGGUUAACCCAGGCAGUCUGAUUAGAGUGCCCAACUUAAUGCUGGCAACUAAUCAUAGGGGUUGCGCUCGUUGCGAGACUUAACCCAACAUUUCACAACACGAGCUGACGACAGCCAUGCAGCACCUCUCACUACAUUUCCUUGCGGACACCCUGACGUUUCUGCCAAGUUCGUAGGAGUUCAAGCCCAGGUAAGGUUUUUCGCGUUGCUUCGAAUUAAACCACAUAAUCCACCGCUUGUGCGGGCCCCCGUCAAUUCCUUUGAGUUUUAGUCUUGCGACCGUACUCCCCAGGCGGAGAACUUAAUGCGUUAGCUGCGUUACCGAGGGAGUCAAUACCCCCAAUAACUAGUUCUCAUCGUUUACGGCGUGGACUAC